UACGGGGGGGGCAAGCGUUGUUCGGAAUUACUGGGCGUAAAGGGCGCGUAGGCGGCCUUCUAAGUCGGACGUGAAAUCCCUCGGCUUAACCGAGGAACUGCGUCCGAUACUGAAAGGCUUGAAUCCGGGAGAGGGAUGUGGAAUUCCAGGUGUAGCGGUGAAAUGCGUAGAUAUCUGGAGGAACACCGGUGGCGAAGGCGGCGAUCCUGGACCGGUAUUGACGCUGAGGCGCGAAAGCUAGGGGAGCAAACGGG
rnacentral:rRNA from 1 species